rnacentral:lncRNA from 1 species
AUAAUUAGCCGAGUAUGCAAUACCUAAACAACAUGCCUGCUUGGCCCAGAGCCCCAUUCCUCAUGCAUACUUUUAUAGGUCAUGAGGUUAUUUAUAUUGCUGUUAUUUUUACAUUUCCUCAAUGCCAGGUGGUAACGUAAAUCCAGGAGUCCUGAGCCACGAUGUGUGGCCAAGUACGCGGUCGGUGUCAGCAACAUAUGUUUUCCUGGAGGGAAAUGGUUCCUCCUCACUUUCCCCAGAAGGCAAAGGUGAGAAGAUAACGUCCCUGCUCUUCUGUUGGGAGUGUUUCGUGUUGGUGACACCUACAGCCUGGAUGGUAAGCUAGUGGUGCCUGUCCUCUGCUAAAAAAGAAACAGCAAAAAUUAAAGAAAACAGAAAGAAAGAAAAAGAAAAAUUACAGCAGUGGUGGAUGUGAGGUCUUUUCAAAUCCCUUGCUCAGAACUCAUUACCAAUUUACCCAUCUAAAGUACUUAAUAACAAAAAAAGACACAGACCAGGGCCCAUCGGAACGAGCAUGAGUCAUCGACCUUGAGCAUUUUGCUGUGUCAACAUUUCACCAAGGAGAAACGUGGCAGGCCCGGGCCAGGCCACCCAAGGCGGUGGGAUGGACGUGGGGACCUUGAGAGCUCAGGGCAGCAGCCCUGCACCAGCUGGCAUCAAGACAUUUCCAUAUUUUAAUAAGAGUGUGGCAGCACCUGUGGACACCAGCUGAAGCAUAGCCCACCUGCCCACACUCACUGGCUCCCAGCCAGGAGCUCGGAGGCCUUGAAAAAUAAAUUUAAAAUAUCUAUGGAGAUUCAAAUUCUUCUCGAAAUUCUGGAAGAGCUACAUGGACCGUGUCUUUGAUAGCCGUAGCGGUUGCAUCUCUUUCUGGUGGUAGAUUGGCUGGAGUGACUAAUUCUUUACGUGCUCACGUGACCCAAUUUCCCCUGAUGGGCCACAGGGCAGGUGCCAGUCACUCAGGAAGGACAAAUGACUGGGACGCAGUAGAGAAAGGCUGAGCCUAAGCUUCCAGUGGAUUCACACUUCACCAGGGACCACAGGAAGACACCAUGAGGUGGCCAGGCAGGUCGGUGGUGGGGUUUCCCUUCUCCUAGCCUAGCUGUUAAUUUCUUAAGUAAUUAAUCAGCCCAGAUUAAUCACUUUUUUUUUGAGACAGAGUCUCGCCCUGUCGCCCAGGCUGGAGUGCAGUGCUGCAGUCUCGGCUCACUGCAACCUCCACCUCCAGGGUUCAAGUGAUUCUCCUGCCUUAGCCUCCCAAGUAGCUGGGACUACAGGCCCACACCACCAUGCCCGGCUACUUUUUGUGCUUUUAGUAGAGAUGGGGUUUGACCAUGUCGGCCAGGCUGAUCACAAACUCCUGACCUCAGGUGAUCGGACGGUCUUGGCUUCCCAAAGUGUUGAGAUGAGCCACCUCGCCCAGCCAGAUUAAUCAUUUCUAAAGUACGUAGGUUCACAUGUAAAUGAACAUAGAAAUAGCAAGAAAAAAAUCUAUCCUUUCUAUAUCUAUAUAUCUAUAGCUAUUCUGAUACAGUUACUCCAAAACAUAAUUUGAUCACGCCCUUUGAAAAAUCCUUUUACUGUGCAGGAUAAGGCACACAGUGGCUUCUAGCACACAAGAGGACAACCUCCUCUUGUUCUGAUGCUUUCUCUUUGGAGAUUUUGUUUCCUAUUUGCCCGUAUAAAUCCUCCCCUGUAGACCAGUGUUUCAGAGGACAUAUUUGUGAGCUGAGAAAUCAAUUUAGUGGGUCAUGACACGCACUUUAAAAUGAAAGAGAACAGAAUACCAUGAGUAAAAAUGCAGUGUUGAACGAGCGUCAUGGAUACGUCGUGUUUUGUGAAUCCCGAGUAGUAUCUCUAUGUAAAAUGUGAGUCUCGUCCCCUGGAUGCGUCGGAGUUUUCAAGUUUCCUUGCCAUGGUCUGCUUAAGAGAGAGCCCACAUUUCAUUUUAAAAAUCCAUACAAUUCCAUGCAAUGUCUGGCACCAAAUAGAUUCCUUGGAAUAAAUGAAUGAAGUGUGCCCUUCGUAUUUAGUGAUUUUUCCGAAACCUUUUUGAAAUUUUGAAGCAAACUGCAGAUAGUAAUAGGAAAUACUACUGCUAGUUUUAUCAUUUUGCCUGAAGUUAACCUCUGAUAUUUUGUAGCCUAGGAAGAACUACAUAUCCGGAGGCAUGCCAUAGGGUAGUUUUCUCACCUGAUAAAAGGAACGUUUGUUUCUAAAGCUAUUGCAGAGGGUUCCGAAGACAUGCUCAAUCCCCGCAGAAAUGGAAAUGUAUUCCGAUUAGCAGCUGUGCCACAUCACCGGGUGUUUUAAUGAUCAUCAGAUUAAAAAGACGUUUUUAUGAUCCCACAUCUCCAGAUAUAAAGCACAGAGCCUCUUUCCUGUGUCACUGUCCCUAACCUCUAAAUUAGAGAUAACUUCAAGCCUGGGUAAGUGAAUGGUGGCGACCCCCUACUAAGCUGCAACUACAUCAGUGAAAUUAAUGUUCACGAUUAGAGUUUUACUGUCUGGAAUGACAUGUAAGUGAUUCAACCAGAUCUCUAGUUGUGCUAAUGUUUAUGUGGUGCAAAUAGGGUGUGAUUAGAAGGAACUAGAACAACACCAAGAGUGUGCUCCUAUCUCCGAAAUCAAGGUCCCGUAGCUUCUCUUUCCUUAAAGACUGAAAUAGUUACUCGAAAGGCAAUUUAGCAAUUAAAAAUCUAAGGGGACUUUGUUACUAAGGGGGCUUUAUUACUGGUAAUAUAUACAAAGGUAGUUAAAUACCAAGAGACAGAGUCAAUCAAAUUCUCAUAAAAAAUUUUAAAAAUGUAUGCUAUUUUGCCUUAUAGGAUCUGCUGCUGGGCACUGGUUAUUUACUUAAGAAAGGAUCUGUGAACUGGCAGAAGUACGAUGGAGGCCACCUACUUUAAGUUGGUUGUUUGCACUCCUGUAUGUCCCCUCCAUCCUGCUGUUAAAGCCAGUCUGACCCCCUCCAGCACGUCAUCUCGCCUGAGAGCUGAAGUUAAGGGAAUGUAACGUCACCAAACGGAUGUGGCCUCAGCAAGUAACUUCAUAGCUGUGAGCUUUGGUUUGCUUUUUAGUGACAUGGAAAGGCCUGUAUGGUGAAAGUUUUCACUCAUUGCUUUGCCUAAGUCUUCUCAUUUUCACUUACUUCUUCCCAGUUUAUCCAGCUUUUCACAUAAAAGGAAAAUAAUAAAGCCAAAAUCCAAAACAUACAUAUUUUUCAGGGACACACCCUCAUGUACCAAUUGUGCAUAUAUCACUUCUUCCUGCUUAAAAAUGGAGAUUUCUUUUGAAGGGUUAUGUUUGAUUUUGAGCCAGAGUUUUCAGUAUGAAGAAGCUCUUUUUGGGCUUUUAGGACUUCAGGUAAUGCACAAAUUCUCAGGUGUCUCUCGCAGUCAGUGUUCUGCUGUAAAUCAGUGCAAGUCUCGGAUCUAGUUCAUGUCUGACCUUGUUUGGGCUCUGCAUAGUUUAGAACUUAGUCAUUUGCGUGGAGGAGAGAAAUGAAUCAUAUUGUUUAUUGUCAUAAUUAACAUGUGUUAUUAAAUUUGCAAAUGGCCACUAAUUGCCCAUGUACAGGGUCUAAGUAUGAAAACUGAAGAUUUCAAGGAGAAACCAGGAUGGAGUCAGUAAAGGCCUGAGAAGCUCUGCACAGAGUACAUGGUGGACGGCUGUGUUGAUUCAUGGAAUGAAGCACUGGGUGAAGUGAUAUUGAAUAUAGCUCACUCUCGAUGGCGUGAAAUUUUGUAGGCUAAUCUGGGGAUUAAUCAUAAAAAUGACUGAAGUCAGGCAUAAGGAGCCUAAACACUGUAAUUAGGAACUCAGUCCCAAGUAAAACUUUAAAGAGGCCAAGAAAAAGAGAAACGGAAAGUGAGGAGACACGAGUUUUGGAUGUGAGGAAUAAUCCUAGUCUAUCACGUGUGCUGUGCAUCCCUGGUACUGCAGAAGGUAUUUUAUGGCAGGUGGGUAGAAAGGAUUUUCCAGGAAAGGGGAGAAAAAGAGGAGGAGAAGGCAGGGGGCACACGAAGAACAUGCUCUGUUUCAAAAGUGAUGUCUGGUGGGACAUUGACAAUGGGCAAAACAGUUUUAUCUGUCCGCCUCCCACAUGUUUUCCUGGCAAUGAGUUUGUGUUUAACUUCAGAGGGGAAUUCCUUUCUCAAACAGAGACCUUGUAUCAUUAUUUUAAUUUUAUUGUUUUCAGAGACUAUGAAGGGCAUAAUAGAAAGAAUCCAGGGUUUGGAGAAAGGAGAUGUGUUUGAUUCCUGACUUUGAGACUGAUUAGUUUUUGUGAUUAUGGGAAAAUCACUUAAUCCCUCAAAGUCUCAGAUUGCUCAUUAAUAAAUAGGGAUGGUAACACCUGCUUUACCCGCCUCACUGAGACGCAAGGGUCCAGGGGGAGAAAGGAGACGUCAAUGUGCUUGGUCAACAGGAGAGAGCCACUUACAAAUAGCUGUUUAUAUUAUGACCAGGAUGCCAUUAACACGUCACAGUGUAUAUCUGAGUAUUUCCCAUUAUACGUAUGCACCUAGAAGCGCUGCUAUGGUUUUUGUUCAUUUUCUUCCUCUGGCUCUUUGCACUUUGUAGGAAAGAUCCUAAGAGUUAAUGCUGAAUUCCUAUGUGACAGAAGAGAAACAAUGGAGAUAAUUCAGAGCCUUGUCAUCAAGCUAACAAGGAGCUUCCAGAAAAUGCCGUGUGUGCACAUCUCCUGCAGCGGCUCCUCACUUUUCCCACGUCACUGACAUUUUGGGAGGAUCCGAUAAAGCUUAUGAAGCCUCUGCCCAAACAAGUGGCAUGUAUACCAUGGGGGCUCAUGGGCCACUUGGAGCUCAACUACGAAUCCACGAGUGGUUUAUGGCCCUCAGGUUAGAAAUUCUCUCCUCUUUGGAAUUUCUUUCACUGAAAGUGGAUGCACCUUCUGUCUCUUAUAUGGUCUGUGAGAGGGCAGAGGCAAUGCCAGAUUUGUUUAUCAGUGUUUUGGAUUUCCAGUAGCAAUCCCUGUGCUUACAUUAAGUACAUGCUUAUUGGAUGACUGUAAGGGAAUUAGCUCCACAAGUUAGUGCAAGUCUGGUUUAUAGGCCUCCUGCUUGCACAAUUUCCCUGUAUGAAUUAUUGGGCAUUUAUAUAGAGAAAGCGCUACAAGUUGUGAGAAAAAUGUCACAAACAUUCACAACAAAUCCUUAGGCAUUAAAAAUAUAUAUUUCUAAUUAAUAUAGGGAACAAAGAGCUUUGUGCUCUUAACAUAGAUAAAUUUGGUUACUGAUACAUUUAUUAACAUUGAAAGUUCAUUUCGAAGUGUAGAUGAACACAGUAUUAUUUCUACUAGACAUUUAGGGGAUUAAAAACAAUGAAAUAUAUAGCUGCAAGUCUCAGGCACAAGCACUCUUGGCUACUACAGAGAGGCAAAGAAAUUAGAAAAAAAAUCCUUUUCUUCCAAAGAGACAUAUUCUCUUCUUGUCAAGCCCAGGUCUAUUAACAUGGCAAAGGAAGAAACUUCACACAGCUCCUGCUUGCUUAAUGUCCACUUAGUGAUAAAUGGAGACCCCCCUUCUCUGGGGGUGUUAAUCUAGUUUCCCCAAAGGACUUACUCGUUUGGAAAAUGAGGAAAAUUAUGCAUUGAUUUAAAAUGGUUCUGGAAUGCAGAGGAGCGCCCCACUUUGUAUGAGACAAGAAUUCAGACAGUCACAGAUCAUCAGCAGAAGAGCACCUCAGUAAAUUAUCUUCCACACUUUUUCUAAUUUUCAUGAGCACUCCCACCCCCAACUCCCCACACACAAAUAAAUCACUGUGGGGAGAAAUCAUCAAGGGGAGUGAAAAAGAUUUAACUGCUUCAGACAGGAUAAAACACUACAAGACCCGCACAUAGGCAAGAAGCCUGGGGGAUGCUAAGCUCUGCAUCCCAUUAUGGGAUGUCAAGAUUUGCAUAAGGCAGACUAAUGUCUCAUACUUCAGUCUCGUUUCGAUGUGUCAGAGAAUAAAUGACGAUAAUGUUGGAACUUCUGUUUCAAACAUCAGGAGCAGAGAAUAGCAAUUUGCACACACCGUCCUGGAGCACAUCCCAGGUUUCCAUGAGUAAUUCAGGGGCAUUUGAGUCAUUGUAAAGCAUCCUGCAUCUUGUCGCUAAACAAUGAAUGGGUAACUGCACUUGAUUUGGCAUAGAAACAUCUGAAACCCAUAUGAUAUUGACUUAGGAUGCAAUUGCGUGUCUUUGAAUUUUGAUCUUUCAUAGUUAGUUCUACCUGAUAUAAUAUUUAGAAUCUUUUUUUUUUUUCUGUAGUAGAAGGGGCUGUCUGCAAGUGUUCCCUUGGAGAAAUUUGCAGAGUCACAUUGCUUGGUGGAAUGCUAGCCCAAGAAUUAUUUUGUUUGUGUCGUGAAAAAUGACGCCCUGGCUUCGAGAAUCAGGCUUUUGUCAUGAAUAGCAGCUUCAUGCUCGUGAAGACUGAAAUGGAUUGAUUGGUUUGAGUACUUAUUAAAAUGCCUUAAGAAUAAAUGUUUUUUUCUUCUUAAAGAACAUCUAUGAUAAAAUAUUUAUAAAUAUUUAAAUAUAUAUUAUUUAAAUGGUUUGACAUUGGUUUUCUUUUUUCUCUUUCUUUUUUUCUUUCUCUUUUUCUCUUUCUCUCUUUCUUUCUUUCUCUCUUCUUUCUUUCUUUCUGGGCAGUGUAUUGCUCUGUGGUCUAACCUGGAGUGUAGUGGAGCAACCACGGCCACUGUAGCCUCCACUUCCCAGGCUCAAGCGAUCUGCCCACCUCAGCCUCUCAAGUAGCUGGGACCGCAGGCACAUGCCACCAUGCCUGGCUAUUUUAUUAUCAUUAUUGUUUUUUUUGUAGAGACAAGGCCUGGUUAGCUACUUUGCCAGGGCUAGUCCUGAACACCUGGGCUCAAGCGAUCCUUCCACCUCAACCUCCCAAAGGGCUUGGAUUAUAGGCAUGAACCACCAUGCCUGGCUGAUUUGACAUUGGGAUGCACUUAAAAAUGAUCCAGUGCCAGAGGAGGGAAAUGGGCAGGAGUAGAGAUGAAAUAGGAUGGGCCACAGAGAAGGUUCAUUAAUCUAUUCUUUAUACUUUUGUCUAUGUUUGAAAUUUUCCAUAAGGAAAACUUGAAAAACAAUUAUUUUGUAAACAAAUGGCCCUAUGGAAUAAAAGUAUAUUGUAAAAAAAUUGUUUAUAAAAUACUCUCACUCCAAACUCAUAAUGUUCUUAUUCAGAAUAUUUAUGUAAUCAAAUAAAAUAUUUGAAAUUAAUAGUGACUUCCAUUUAGCUUAUGUGAUCCUUAUUAAGUAAAAAUGCCACAAGAGCUAGUUCUAUCAAAUAGAUUUGUAUGUCAAACUGCUCUUUUAUAGGUAAAUUUUACCUCAAACAACUAUUUAAUAGCCACCUACUAUAUGCAAAGAAAUACUGUACAUUACAGCUUUUUUGUUGACAUCAUUUUUAGUACCUGUUUAUAACUUAUAAGCUAAGGAUGCACUGUAUCAGAAUGUAAUAAAACUGAAUUUUUAAAAAAU